CAAAAGUUCUCAAACUAAGAGUUUGUCCACUUCUCCCUUGAGGUGCAAAUGCAGCAGCCUUGCCCUCUUUGCUCUCAUGCAUUGGGCUGUUCCAGUCAAAGUGAAGGAUCCAGAAGCAGAAGGACAAUGGGUGGGUGUCCCUUUAGUACUACAAAGCACAGUACUCUGUCUCCUUUUGUCUCCCAGACAAUGCAGAGGCACAAAAGCAGUGGGUUGCCUGUGUUAAUGUCAUCUCAUCCAGACUAACUGAUGUGGUUAGAACCAUCAUCAUAGAAUCGUCAGGGUUGGAAAAGACCUUCAAUAUCAUCCAGUCCAAUUGUCCACCCACCAGUAUUUCCCCAUUUAACCAUGUUCCUUAGUACAACACCUAUACAGUUCUUCAGCAUCUCCAGAGACAAUGACUCCCACCAUCAUGGUGAUGUUGCCCUUGUUACCCACCCCACCCUCUGUGACACCAGACAGAGCUGCAAGAGCCGGGGUUGACACUGCCCACAGCAUACACAGCUCCAUCCCACUGGGUUUCAGUGCUGGAAGUCAAACUGUUUUCCAGCUUCCAUCUGACCCGGAGUUCUUAAGAAGAUUAUCUCUGAAACCUCAGUGGGUUCAGGAAGAAGAACCCAUCGAUUUAUGUGCAAUUUUAUAACCUUGAAAUGGGGUUAGUACCACAGUUAUCUAGAUGAUUUGUUUUAAAAAAGGCUGUGUGUGCGCCCUGAAGUCAAAGGUGAUGUAUUCAAUGAGAGGUACAAAGAAAUUGUUGCCACCACUGUUUUGGGGGGAAGGAAUGGAGAGGAAAUUGGGCUUAAUGGAGGGAGUUCAGAGCAAAGCCUUCCUUGCUCUUCAGUGAAAUAACCCGUGGAUGCUCUAAAGCAUCUUUGCAGGGUUAGAAACCAGAGCAGGCAGCAGCUCGAUCUCCCCAUGACAAGAGCAAGACCAGUCCAAGUUCUCAGCAUGAACCAGGUGGAGCAGACACUUGAAAAUGCAUUUCCCCUGUAUUGGUGAAUGCGUCAGCUGCCAGGCUAACGUCUGCUCUCGCUUCACACCUGGAACUUGUCAAAACUCAUCUGUUCCUGGAAGAGCCUCUGGUUUUGGC
rnacentral:lncRNA from 1 species